rnacentral:rRNA from 1 species
UGGGGAAUAUUGGACAAUGGGCGCAAGCCUGAUCCAGCAAUGCCGCGUGUGUGAAGAAGGCCUUCGGGUUGUAAAGCACUUUUAUCAAGAGCGAAACGCUGUCGGCUAAUACCCGGCGGAACUGACGGUACCUGAGGAAUAAGCACCGGCUAACUUCGUGCCAGCAGCCGCGGUAAUACGAAGGGUGCAAGCGUUAAUCGGAAUUACUGGGCGUAAAGCGUGCGUAGGCGGUUUCUUAAGUCUGCUGUGAAAUCCCCGGGCUCAACCUGGGAAUGGCAGUGGAUACUGGGAGGCUAGAGUGUGUCAGAGGGUGGUGGAAUUCCCGGUGUAGCGGUGAAAUGCGUAGAGAUCGGGAGGAACAUCAGUGGCGAAGGCGGCCACCUGGGACAACACUGACGCUGAGGCACGAAAGCGUGGGGAGCAAACAGGAUUAGAUACCCUGGUAGUCCACGCCCUAAAGCGAUGCGAACUGGAUGUUGGUCUCAACUCGGAGAUCAGUGUCGAAGCUAACGCGUUAAGUUCGCCGCCUGGGGAGUACGGUCGCAAGACUGAAACUUAAAUGAAUUGACGGGGUCAUAGCUGUUUCC